UACGUAGGGUGCGAGCGUUGUCCGGAAUUAUUGGGCGUAAAGAGCUCGUAGGUGGUUUGUCGCGUUGGUCGUGAAAACCGGGGGCUUAACCCUCGGCGUGCGGGCGAUACGGGCAGACUUGAGUGCUGCAGGGGAGACUGGAAUUCCUGGUGUAGCGGUGAAAUGCGCAGAUAUCAGGAGGAACACCGGUGGCGAAGGCGGGUCUCUGGGCCGAUACUGACGCUGAGGAGCGAAAGCGUGGGGAGCGAACAGG
rnacentral:rRNA from 1 species